rnacentral:rRNA from 1 species
CAUUACCGAGUGAGGGCCCUCUGGGUCCAACCUCCCACCCAUGUUUAUUGUACCUUGUUGCUUCGGCGGGCCCGCCUCACGGCCGCCGGGGGGCUUCUGCCCUCUGGCCCGCGCCCGCCGAAGACACCAUUGAACACUGUCUGAAGAUUGCAGUCUGAGCAAUUAGCUAAAUAAGUUAAAACUUUCAACAACGGAUCUCUUGGUUCCGGCAUCGAUGAAGAACGCAGCGAAAUGCGAUACGUAAUGUGAAUUGCAGAAUUCAGUGAAUCAUCGAGUCUUUGAACGCACAUUGCGCCCCUUGGUAUUCCGGGGGGCAUGCCUGUCCGAGCGUCAUUGCUGCCCUCAAGCACGGCUUGUGUGUUGGGCCCCGUCCUCCUUCCCGGGGGACGGGCCCGAAAGGCAGCGGCGGCACCGCGUCCGGUCCUCGAGCGUAUGGGGCUUUGUCACCCGCUUCUUGUAGGCCCGGCCGGCGCUUGCCGACAACCAUCAAUCUUUUUUCAGGUUGACCUCGGAUCAGGUAGGGAUACCCGCUGAACUUAAGCAUAUCAAUA